GGGGCCGACUUGGAUUUGACAGCGAGACGGUAGGCCUUGUAAGCAUGUCGAGAUUUGUGUUUUAGCUCGUAAAAACUAAAGCUCAUUCCUAUUUAAAAGGAGAGAAUAACUACGCACUUGCUGCUUAAUAAAGACUAAGUCUUAUAAGCUUUAUCUAGGGUGAACAACAGUAGCCCAGACAAGUGCCCCGCAUUUCGGAUGUCCGUGCCGGUUUGCAUAUGGGGUAUCAUGAAGUUGGAAUAGCUAGAUAGGGGACCUCGAUUAUUUAGUAAAAUUAAGAGGAUAAGUUAUUGCUCGGGUGUUCCUUCCCAGGUGAUAAUCGAAAAUCAAUAAGAGAACUAAACAUGUAGAAAGCAUUGAUUAUCCUUGUUUGGACGUGGGUUCGAACCCCACCGGCUCCACUA
rnacentral:tmRNA from 1 species